CCUCAUUUCUCAUUCCCCUUUUGUUCCACGGGGUGAAGGCCUAGCCUCACAGAGCUCAGUGACACUGUUAUCACUGACCAGCAGACCCAAUUUCCCACUGCUCCCAGUUCAGCUAUGCUGCCCAUUGCUUGAACAAUGUGAGAGGCAAAAAGUCACUGAGCUUGUUAAGCCUUGAACUCCUUUUGUGCAGUCAGUUUUUUGGCCUGGACCCCUAUGUAGAGGGCUCUGAGGGAAAGCACUUUUUCAGAUUCUCUUUGUUCAGAAGACUUUUUGGCUUAGCAUGCUGGAGAAAUGACAUUGGUGGGAUGGAGAGUGAAAGAGGAAGAGUGGAAGAAAAAGGCACGCUCUGUCCGUGGGUAAACCCAGUGAGGACUGCGGUGGCAAGAGGUCAGAUGCUGCUGUUCAUAGUCAUUGGCACAACACCUGGAGAUCAGCAGUGUCAGUGACCCCAGUGUUACCUCCUACGCAGUUAGCAGAACCGUGAUGUGGAACCUUCUGACCCAUGGCAUGCAGUUGGUGAAAGCCAGUGAUUUUCACUUCAUAAUGCAAUCAUCUCAGACAGUGGAAAGGCAGUACUGGUGAAAUGCAGGUCUAAUCAGGUAACAAAGCACGUCUGGUACCGUCUUGAAGCAAGGAAAUCUGGCACUUUAAGUGUGCCUUGGAGAGGAGUCUUUGGGGAAUUCACAUCCUCUGAUUUGAAUCUUUUCUGAGCCCUAAUGACACUAUCUUGAAAUAAAUCUUCCCUGAAGCAGAUGCCUCUUCCAAUAUACCUAUAUAAACCUUUUGUUCCAACACACACAAAGAACGCUUCAAGUUAAAUACUCUGCUAGAUGGCUCUUACAGGCUGUCAGCAUUAAGUUUCAUAACAAACAGAUGUUCAUAUUUUAUAAACCUCCCCCAUAAAAGACUUCCAGUAUUCUCUAUUUCAACAGAGGCACAAUGGAAAAUUAUAAGGAUCUAGAAACAGUACUCCUGUGGGAUCCUGAAAUGACUAAGCUCGGCUCCACUGAAACACAUCUACAGCUGUGGGGAUAUCAGUAGUGAACUGUGGGAAGAGGUGGAUGGGGGAAGAUUAGAUAAAGGCCAAAAGUUUAACAUCCUGGUGCUGGAGAAGUUUCUGCUGGUAGUGGAAAGAAGCAGCUGCCCUGCUUUCAUUUUAGGCGCUAGAAUGGGCUGCCGAGGGAGGUGAUUGUGUCACCAUCCUUACAGAUGUUCAAGAAAUGUUUAGACGUUGUACUGAGGGACACGUUUUAGUGGGGAAAUAUUGGUGACAGGUGAACAGUUGAACUGGAUGAUUUUGGAGGUCUUUUCUAACCUUGGUGAUUCUGUGAUUCUAUGGUUCUGUGGUAGAGGCACUGACUUUGAGACUGACAUUUGGGAGAGGAGGCUAGUGGCUAUGUAGUAAUUCCAGGGUAGGUAACAGAGCUGUGAGUCAAAUAGCACAUACCUGAGGUCAGCAGCAAUGUGACAUUUUCUGUCAGCCAUGAUCCCAGCCAUAUUUUAAGCAUGGAGCCCUGUAGGAUGCUGGCUCUGGAUGAAUGGGUCCGCUGGGGGUGGUCCUACCUGAAGCUACACAUCUGCUGCAACCACAGCCUCCAGGUUGCUAAUUGACUGGAGCCUGGCAUGCUGUGCUGCAGGGCAGAGACAGAGGACAGAGUCCUGAGAAGAGGCUGAGUAACCUCACCGUCUGAACACAUGUAUGUUGGUGUGCUGCUGUGCCACCCUAACACCCUUCACCUAAUACCAAAAACAGCAUCACUGCCUCCAGUUUUCUAUCUCUUUGAGACAAGACAUUCAAGUCAUAGGAGCAGCUAAAGGAAUCCCUUUCCACACUCCUUGUUCAUUACUGCUAAGGGAAGAGGAUGCAGCUGGUGUAAAAGAUGUAGUCCCACGCCAUGCCACCUAUCCAAACACUGUGUUUCUGCCAUCUUCCCUCUGUGGGUGCCUCUCUUUGUAGAGCCACUCUGCCAGUCAGAUCAGGGCUCACUGAGGUGAAACCAGUAUUUCUGAAAACAAACUGAACCUCCUUUUUUUCCUCCUGGGUCAGCUCAUUGGUUUAGCUAAACAAAACAAGCAGGAUGCCAGGUGCAAGGGG
ensembl:lncRNA